rnacentral:rRNA from 1 species
AUUGAACGCUGGCGGCAGGCCUAACACAUGCAAGUCGAACGGUAACAGGAAGCAGCUUGCUGCUUUGCCGACGAGUGGCGGACGGGUGAGUAAUGUCUGGGAAACUGCCCGAUGGAGGGGGAUAACUACUGGAAACGGUAGCUAAUACCGCAUAACGUCGCAAGACCAAAGAGGGGGACCUUAGGGCCUCUUGCCAUCGGAUGUGCCCAGAUGGGAUUAGCUAGUAGGUGGGGUAACGGCUCACCUAGGCGACGAUCCCUAGCUGGUCUGAGAGGAUGACCAGCCACACUGGAACUGAGACACGGUCCAGACUCCUACGGGAGGCAGCAGUGGGGAAUAUUGCACAAAGGGCGCAAGCCUGAUGCAGCCAUGCCGCGUGUAUGAAGAAGGCCUUCGGGUUGUAAAGUACUUUCAGCGGGGAGGAAGGGAGUAAAGUUAAUACCUUUGCUCAUUGACGUUACCCGCAGAAGAAGCACCGGCUAACUCCGUG